rnacentral:rRNA from 1 species
CCUACGGGUGGCAGCAGUGAGGAAUAUUGGUCAAUGGGCGCGAGCCUGAACCAGCCAAGUCGCGUGAGGGAUGACGGUCCUACGGAUUGUAAACCUCUUUUGCCGGGGAGCAAGCGUGCGUUCGUGAACGCACGUCGAGAGUACCCGGAGAAAAAGCAUCGGCUCACUCCGUGCCAGCAGCCGCGGUAAUACGGAGGUUGCGGAGGUUAUCCGGAUUUAUUGGGUGUAAAGGGUGCGUAGGCGGGAGACCAAGUCAGCGGUAAAAAUGCGGUGCGAAACGCCGUCGAGCCGUUGAAACUGGCGUUCUUGAGUGGGCGAGAGGUAUGCGGAAUGCGUGGUGUAGCGGUGAAAUGCAUAGAUAUCACGCAGAACUCCGAUUGCGAAGGCAGCAUACCGGCGCCCUACUGACGCUGAGGCACGAAAGCGUGGGUAUCGAACAGGAUUAGAUACCCGAGUAGUC